CAGGAUACUUCGUCUUCUAAUAAAUUCAAUAAUUUGAUCAUCACAUUUUCUUUUUUUUUUUUUUGUUCAUCAAGCCACGUGAAAAAAAUGGCUAAUUCUUGCUGCUUUUGUAUUGGUCUUCGAUCUGGAACAAUUAUUAUUACGAUGUACCUGUUGGCUAUUUUUUUGCUGAUACCUUUUUCUAAUGACAGAGAGUACAUUAUUUAUAGUGAUCCAUCGAAUAUGACUGAGAAACCCAUCCAAAUUGAUGGUUCACCACGUGGAGUGGAUUAUAUUUUCGCAAUUUUUCUACCUGUUGUUACUUUUGCUAUGUUGUUGAGUGCUAUUUUCAAAAAGUCAGAGAUCUUAUUUUAUGCAAUGAUCACAUUCAUAAUUGCAUUUAUUUUAUUGACUGUGUAUGCAACUGUGGGAGAAGAAAGAGGUUCGUGGUUUCUGUUUAAAUUUCCUCCCACUGGGUUUUAUCAACAAGAUGAGAAACUGUAUACUCAGUCUAAGCCCACAGUAUUUUUAAUAUCUGUAAUUCGAUAUGUUACCGGAGGGUAUUUCAUGUUUGUUGUAUACUCGUAUGUUCAACAACUUCGAGAAGGCAUUCCAACAUUUGGCCAAGUCAUCCGUGUAUAAUAUGCUCGAGUUAAGAAAACAUAGACAUGCAGGUCUCAUAUAUAGUAUGGUUUUUAUUCAAUUUAGAAUUUUGAGUAACUAUUGUUGUCGCCUAAGAAAAGAAUAGAACCUUUCAAUAAACUUAAUCUUAACGUAAAUUAAAAUAGACCACUCAAAAACAAAAUACAAUUAAAACUUACAAUAAAAUAUAUUUCAAAAUAGUAUAAUUUUUAAAGUGAAAAUUUGGAUAAUUGAGUCACGUUAUUUUGGUUACAAAAAUAUCAUGUAACAUCAAAGUUUUUGUUUGAGUCACUUUCGAAAAAAUAUCAUUGUCAACAUUUUUUUAAAUAACAUUUAUAAAAAAUUAUCGAAUUUUUAUUUAUUUAUUUUCGUUAUCUUAUGAAAGCCUCAUG